rnacentral:rRNA from 2 species
GACAGAGGUGCCAAGCGUUAGGCGGAAUCACUGGGCUUAAAGCGUGUGUAGGCGGAUCGUUAAGUGCUUUGUGAAAUCCCACGGCUCAACCGUGGAAUUGCUUGGCAUACUGGCGAUCUUGAGCCACUUAGGGGCAACUGGAACAAACGGUGGAGCGGUGAAAUGCGUAGAUAUCGUUUGGAACGCCAAUGGUGAAAACAGGUUGCUGGGAGUGUGCUGACGCUGAGACACGAAAGCCAGGGGAGCAAACGGG